UAUGCGGGAGAGACCGUCGACCGGUGAGGGCCGGGACGCGGCGCCGAAGGAGCAAACCCUCCCCGGGAAACUCUCAGGCAAAGGUACCGCUAGC
rnacentral:ncRNA from 1 species